rnacentral:lncRNA from 1 species
GAUCCCUGUUACUGUGCGUCUCCUCCCAAGGCAGCUCAGUGUCAUCACAGCAUCUCAGUGUGCUGAUCACCGGCAGAGCAGGGCAAGCGCCAAGCACUGACAACACGCUGGAGGCUGUGGGCAGCUCCUCUCCACUCUCCCACCCCAGCAGGCUGAGAUGUUUAUAAACGAGCCCUACAACCUAAAACCGGUGGUGAAGAAUCACUUUCCUGCUGCAGCUGCCGCUGAACCGCAGGGAGCUUCCAGGACUCCCCUCGGUUCUGAUCUUUUCUUUCCCCUCCCUGAGCCUCCCUCUGCCUGCCGUGGUUGUUGCUUUCCUGGGCUCCUGGGGCUCUUUGGACCACACUGAGGCUGGUUUCUCUGCAGGAGGGACCCUGGCUGGAGCCCCUCGCUGAGCUCACACCGGGCUCUCAAGAGGUAUGCGCCCUCCUGCCUGCUCACCUCUGCCCCACUGUCCACACUACCUGCAGGGGUCUCUUCUCCUGCUGCCCACCUCUGGCCAGCCCCUUCCUCCGGGGCUGCUCCCUGGUCACUUAUCUGCAUUUCCUCCCACCUCCCCAGAACAGCUGCCCUCCCCACUCAGUCUCCAUCCAAGCCCCAACACCAGUAUUCCCAAUGACCCCAGCCAGCUGCUCUCCACUGCUACCAGUGCCCCCACAGGGAUGGCGAGUCUCUGGAAGAAAGUGGUGGCUCAGCAGGAGGAGACUUGCAGAGUGUGAGAUUCUCAGGGUUGGAACUGCCAGAAGCAUACAGGGUCUGUUUCCAGAGCUGCCUCCAGGAGAGAAGGUAACCCACCUGGCUCCCGAUCAAGUCCUAUCUUCUCAAAACAAGCUUUCUGCACUUGGAGGGUGGGUGAGUUUAGAGAUUUUGAGACUCAAUCUUUGCUCCUUUUCUCUCUCUCUCCUUCUCAGUCCCACCCAUUCUAAUCCCAGCUCCAGCUUGUCUAAGCCCCUCAAGCAAGACUCUUUUAGUGAAUGAAAGCUGACAAUGUCUCAGCCUCCUUCCCAAGAGCAGCUAAGCUGACAGAUCCUUGAUUCUGACAAGCCCUCGCAGCUCCCUCCUCUGUCUCUCAGCCACCCUGAAAGGGAGGCCCUAUUAUCAUCAGUU